CCUACGGGAGGCUGCAGUGGGGAAUAUUGGACAAUGGGGGCAACCCUGAUCCAGCCAUGCCGCGUGUGUGAAGAAGGCCCUCGGGUUGUAAAGCACUUUCAGUGAGGAAGAACGCCUGGUGGUUAAUACCCAUCAGGAAAGACAUCACUCACAGAAGAAGCACCGGCUAACUCCGUGCCAGCAGCCGCGGUAAUACGGAGGGUGCGAGCGUUAAUCGGAAUUACUGGGCGUAAAGCGCGCGUAGGUGGCUUGAUAAGCCGGUUGUGAAAGCCCCGGGCUCAACCUGGGAACGGCAUCCGGAACUGUCAAGCUAGAGUGCAGGAGAGGAAGGUAGAAUUCCAGGUGUAGCGGUGAAAUGCGUAGAGAUCGGGAGGAAUACCAGUGGCGAAGGCGGCCUUCUGGACUGAAACUGACACUGAGGUGCGAAAGCGUGGGUAGCAAACAGGAUUAGAUACCCUUGUAGUC
rnacentral:rRNA from 1 species